rnacentral:rRNA from 1 species
UGAGUUUGAUCCUGGCUCAGGACGAACGCUGGCGGCGUGCUUAACACAUGCAAGUCGAGCGGUAAGGCCCUUUCGGGGGUACACGAGCGGCGAACGGGUGAGUAACACGUGGGUGACCUGCCCUCAGCUCUGGGAUAAGCCCGGGAAACUGGGUUUAAUACCGGAUAUGACUCCAUGACGCAUGUUGUGGGGUGGAAAGCCUUGUGCGGCUGAGGAUGGGCCCGCGGCCUAUCAGCUUGUUGGUGGGGUGAUGGCCUACCAAGGCGACGACGGGUAGCCGGCCUGAGAGGGCGACCGGCCACACUGGGACUGAGACACGGCCCAGACUCCUACGGGAGGCAGCAGUGGGGAAUCUUGCGCAAUGGGCGAAAGCCUGACGCAGCGACGCCGCGUGAGGGAUGACGGCCUUCGGGUUGUAAACCUCUUUCAGCUCCGACGAAGCGGAAGUGACGGUAGGAGCAUAAGAAGCACCGGCCAACUACGUGCCAGCAGCCGCGGUAAUACGUAGGGCGUAAGCGUUGUCCGGAAUUAUUGGGCGUAAAGAGCUCGUAUGCGGUCUGUCGCGUCUGCUGUGAAAACUCGNGGCUCAACUCCGAGCUCGUAGUCGAUACUGUCAGGCUACAGUUCGGCAGGGGAGACUGGAAUUCCUGGUGUAGCGGUGAAUGCGCAGAUAUCAUGAGGAACACCGGUGGGCGGAGUGCGGGUCUCUGGGCCUAUACUGACGCUGAGGAGCGAAAGCGUGGGGAGCGAACAGGAUUAGAUACCCUGGUAGUCCACGCCCGUAANCGUUGGGCGCUAGGUGUGGGAUCCCUUUCCACGGCCUCCGUGCCGCAGCUCACCGCAUUAAAGCGCCCCGCCUGGGUAGUACGGCUGCAAGGCUUAAACUCAACUGAAUUGACGGGA